rnacentral:tRNA from 1 species
UAAUCUAAAUAUUUUAUAAAAAAAUAUUGGUUUGUGGAACCAAAGAAACAAAAUUUUUGUUUUAGAU